rnacentral:rRNA from 1 species
UAUAGCAUAGCUAAUUGCACCAACAAAUAGUUGAUGCAAUAUCGACUCUGUCGAAUAAAAUUCUAGGUAGAAUUAUGAUAAUGACAUUGUCUGCCUAUGUGUCUUGACCAAAUUACGUGCCAGCAGUCGCGGUAAUACGUAGAAGACUAGUGUUAUUCAUCUUUAAUAGGUUUAAAGGGUACCUAGACGGUAAAUCAAGCCUUCAAGGGGACUAAUUUACUAGAGUUACUUCUGAGGGGGUAUUAAAGUACUAAUGGUGUAGAGAUGAAAUUCUGUCAUACCUAUUUUCGGAAGAAAAAUUAUGGCACAGGUAUAGGCGAAAGCAUCCCCUUAUGUGAUAACUGACGUUGAAGGACGAAGGCUUUGUGUCGCGAACAGGAUUAGAUACCCCAGUAGUCAAAGCAGAAAAUGAUGAAUGUCAUAGAUUAGACAUAUAGUUUAUUCUAUAAAUGAAAGUGUAAGCAUUCCACCUCAAGAGUAAUUUGGCAACAUUGGAACUGAAAUCAUUAGACCGUUUCUGAAACCAGUAGUGAAGUAUGUUGUUUAAUUUGAUAAUCCGCAAAAAACCUUACCACAAUUUGAAUAUUUAUAUCUUUUUUUCUUCAUUUCCAUCUUUUCGUGGAAAAGAUGAUAAAAGAUAUAUUUACAAGCGUUGCACGGCUGUCUUCAGUUAAUGUCGUGAGACUUUGGUUAGUUCCAUUAAAUUAACGUAAACCCUUACUUUAUUUUUAUAUAAAGUAGUUCCCCACUAGAUUGGAUAAGAUAACAGGGACUAAGACAAGUCAUCAUGGCCUUAAUAUUGUGGGCUAUA